UCUUGUAACUAAAAUCCUCUGGAAGAAGAUACUGUAUGGAGCUGAUAGAUCUCAGUGAUUCUUUCAUUUUGAAGCUGGAUACAGCCUAUUAAGCCAAAGACUCUUUCAUGACAGGUAUUGAUCAAGUUCCAGUUAAGCACCAGCUAACAUUUUGAACAGUAAAACUUGCUGGCUGGUUUUCAUACAGCCUGUAUGUACAAUCCCUUUUCCUUAAAUAAUAAAAUGGAUGGAUUGAUCCAUCCAUCUCUACUGUCAAAAUGUCAGUGUAGGAGCUCAUUACAGCAGGCUGUUACCUUAUCAACAUGAGCAGCACAUUCCUUACUAAUAUCCUGAGCCCCUCUCUACAGAGAACAACUGCUCUUAAUGUGAGGCUCUUUCAAAAUGCAUCCAGACUGAUGGAGAUCUCCAGCUGCUUUUAUGGGCCCCUGCAGUGAUCCUGAUCGAAAGACCAUUGUACAUCAAGGAUCCACAUAACAGUGAACCUGAGUAGGCACAAGUCUUUGCUGCACGUAUAGCAUCACCUUCAGGCCUGUGCCGUGCUGCACAUCUCCCUCAGCCGCAGGACAAACUCAGCAGGGUGAUGAUAACAGGAGCCUGCAGGCAGCUCCCACUCCGACCUGGCGAUUGCACCACCUGCACGGCCUUGCCUUUAUCUAAAAGCGCGCUGAGUUCUCAUGAGAACAUCCUCUGUGUUUGACAGAAGAAAUGAUGAAUAGAGCUGUUUUCUUGUAAGAAAUCCUAUAUGAGCUUGAAUGAGCUCACCGAGGUAACCUCUUCUACCGAUGGUGUCUGCACAGCAUGCUGCACGUGGAGGGGAGGCCUGCCCGGCGCUGCACAACUCGGGGGUCCUAACAUCUGAAGGGAUAUCCAGAGCCCUGGUGGUCCAGAGCCCUGGCAGUUUUCCACUUCCUGAAAAAGGAAUGCUACAUAGCCAAGACCCUUCUUCAAACAGAGGACAAUUAUGUGAUUGCACUGCAAGAAAUGGAAGGUCCUAGGGGAAAGGAAAGAUCCUACAUGCACACAUGCAUGAGAGCAGCUGUUCCAGGAAACAAUAUAUCCAGGUCUUUUCUAGGCCUGUGAUCACUCCUGGUGUUCUCCUCCUGAUGGUCUUCUUUUGGAUCCCCACAAUCAUAUUGUGCAGCCCCCAAUAUUGGACACCACACACCUUGCCUGGAAUAAUGCACGUGGGAGAAAUCCUGGUGGCACCAUGCAACCUGCAUUCCUGUUUCAGCAUCCCUAUGUGGUGUUUGCCAUCUCUGCAUGAUGCUGGUGGCCAGUGUUCAGAGCCUUCAGGAAUCUUACGGAUAGCACUUACAGCACAACUUCAAACAGUGAAUGUUUUAGCUUUGAAAAGCUAAAUGUUUAUGUGGUCUUUGAAGCAGAAGCCUCCCUUAAAGUGAAUGUUUACAUUUAUCUGAUUCAUGUAAUUGCCAAAGCAUUUUGGAAAUGUCUUGAGGGACAUUUUCUAAAGUGGGGCCCAGUCUGGUGGAAAUGACAGGAGAUAGUCCUUAAAUGUUUCAACAGUUUUACCUCUGUUUCUGUCUGUGGCUGGGAGGCAGAAAUGUAAGAAAAUAUAUGCAAA